AUGGGGAAGGGGUUUUGGAUACUCAAGGUGAAUUUCAUCCAUCCCAAUCUGCUCUCAGCAGGCGAACACUCCCAGGUCCAGCUAGUGAAAUCUGGAGCUGAACUGAAGAAGCCGGGGGCAUCAGUGAAUGUCUCUUGCAAGGCUUCAGGAUACACCUUCACUAAUUACUGUGUUUUUUGGGUGUGUCACAUCCCUGGACAUGAGUUUGAGUGGAUGGGAUGGAUUAACCCAAGCAAUGAUGGAACAGUCUAUGUACAGAAGUUCCAGGGCAGAGUCACAAGGACCAGGGAAAAGUCCACAUGCUCAGCCUACAUGAAUCUAAGCAGUCUGAGCUCUUAGGACAUGAUUAGGUAUUACUGUGCUAGAGUUCUUCCAUUUACUUUUGCUUUCUUCCUAUAUGAUGCUCUU